rnacentral:rRNA from 1 species
UACGUAGGGGGCAAGCGUUGUCCGGAUUUAUUGGGCGUAAAGAGCGUGUAGGCGGCCCGGUAAGUCCGCUGUGAAAGUCGGGGGCUCAACCCUCGAAUGCCGGUGGAUACUGUCGGGCUAGAGUGCGGAAGAGGCGAGUGGAAUUCCUGGUGUAGCGGUGAAAUGCGCAGAUAUCAGGAGGAACACCAAUUGCGAAGGCAGCUCGCUGGGACGUAACUGACGCUGAGACGCGGAAGCGUGGGGAGCAAACAGG